rnacentral:rRNA from 1 species
ACGGGAGGCAGCAGUGGGGAAUAUUAGGCAAUGGGGGAAACCCUGACCUAGCAACGCCGCGUGAAGGAAGAAGGCUUUCGGGUUGUAAACUUCUUUUACCAGGGACGAAGGACGUGACGGUACCUGGAGAAAGAGCCACGGCUAACUACGUGCCAGCAGCCGCGGUAAUACGUAGGUGGCAAGCGUUGUCCGGAUUUACUGGGUGUAAAGGGCGUGUAGGCGGAGUAGCAAGUCAGAAGUGAAAUCUCGGGGCUCAACCCCGAAACUGCUUUUGAAACUGUUGCCCUUGAGUAUCGGAGAGGCAGGCGGAAUUCCUAGUGUAGCGGUGAAAUGCGUAGAUAUUAAGAAGAACACCGGUGGCGAAGGCGGCCUGCUGGACGACAACUGACGCUGAGGCGCGAAAGCGUGGGGAGCAAACAGGAUUAGAUACCCUGUA